GAUGAACGCUGGCGGCGUGCCUAAUACAUGCAAGUCGAGCGAACGGACGAGAAGCUUGCUUCUCUGAUGUUAGCGGCGGACGGGUGAGUAACACGUGGAUAACCUACCUAUAAGACUGGGAUAACUUCGGGAAACCGGAGCUAAUACCGGAUAAUAUUUUGAACCGCAUGGUUCAAAAGCGAAAGACGGUCUUGCUGUCACUUAUAGAUGGAUCCGCGCUGCAUUAGCUAGUUGGUAAGGUAACGGCUUACCAAGGCAACGAUGCAUAGCCGACCUGAGAGGGUGAUCGGCCACACUGGAACUGAGACACGGUCCAGACUCCUACGGGAGGCAGCAGUAGGGAAUCUUCCGCAAUGGGCGAAAGCCUGACGGAGCAACGCCGCGUGAGUGAUGAAGGUCUUCGGAUCGUAAAACUCUGUUAUUAGGGGAGAACAUAUGUGUAAGUAACUGUGCACAUCUUGACGGUACCUAAUCAGAAAGCCACGGCUAACUACGUG
rnacentral:rRNA from 1 species